rnacentral:tRNA from 1 species
AUUCUUUUAGUAUAUAUAGUAUAUUUAACUUCCAAUUAAAAGGUCUAGGUUAGAGAGAAUA